GAUGAACGCUGGCGGCGUGCCUAAUACAUGCAAGUCGAGCGGACAGACGAGGAGCUUGCGGCGCGGACGUGAGCGGAGGACGGGUGAGUAACACGUGGAUAACCUACCUAUAAGACGGGGAUAACUUCGGGAAACCGGAGCUAAUAGCGGAUGAUCUAUUGAACCGCAGGGGUCGAUAGUGAGAGACGGUGGUGGGGGCACGUAUAGCGGGAUCCGCGCCGCAUUGGCUAGUUGUUAAGGUAACGGCUUACCAAGGCGACGAGGCGUAUACGAGCGGAUAGGGUGAUAGGCCGCCUUGGAACGGAGCCGGGGACAAGGCUACUAAGGGAGGCAGCAGUAGGGAACGUUCCGCAAUGGGCGAAAGCAUGACGGAGCAAGCCCGCGCGAGUGAUGGAGGUGUUCCGAGCGUAAAAACCUCUUACUAGGGAAGAACCAAUGUGUAAGUAACUAUGCACGGCUUGACGGUACCUAAUCAGAAAGCCCCGGCUAACUACGUG
rnacentral:rRNA from 1 species